AUUACCAUCUAUGGCUGGAGAGAGAGAGGGCUGUCCUGAGCCACUUGCUUAGGAGUGCACUUUAUUUUUGCAGCAAGUUCCCUGGAUAGCACCUUUGAAAAAGAGUUUGGGUCUGGUGUUUCAUCUUGAACCAGGGAGUCUCUCCUUUCUCCAUAGUCACCCUCCCUGUCUGGCAGUUUCACUGUGUUUCAGUCCCUUCUUCCUGGUGCUGUGGUUUCCCAGUGAAGAGCCAAGAUUCUUGCCUGGAGCUGAUAUUGUUGUUAUUGCAGAUACUUUGUUUCUAUGAGUUACAGCUCUUUCAGACAGGUGUGUACAUUUUUGGUAAAUAUUUGACUCCUGGUUAUAUGUAGUUUUCCUUCAAAAUGAUGUCUUUUCCUCUUACCUCUCACUACAUUUCUUUUUUUUUUUUGAGACGGAGUCUCGCUCUGUCGCCCAGGCUGGGGUGCGGUGGCAUGAUCACGGCUCACUGCAAGCUCCACCUCCUGGGUUCACACCAUUCUCCUGCCUCAGCCUCCUG
rnacentral:lncRNA from 10 species